rnacentral:rRNA from 1 species
UUCGGAUUGUAGUCUGCAACCCGACUACAUGAAGCUGGAAUCGCUAGUAAUCGCGGAUCAGAAUGCCGCGGUGAAUACGUUCCCGGGUCUUGUACACACCGCCCGUCACACCAUGGGAGUCGGAAAUGCCCGAAGUCUGUGACCCAACCUUAGGGAGGGAGCAGCCGAAGGCAGGUCGGAUGACUGGGGUGAAGUCGUAACAAGGUAUC